AAUGAACGUUGGCGGCGUGGAUUAGGCAUGCAAGUCGAGCGCUCAUAGCAAUAUGGGAGCGGCGAACGGCGUAGUAAUAUGUAGGAACGUACCCUCGGGUCGGGGAUAGCCAUGGGAAACUGUGGGUAAUACCCGAUAAUCUCUGCGGAGCAAAGGUGUGAUUCCGCCUGAGGAGCGGCCUACACGAUAUUAGCUAGUUGGUAGGGUAAUGGCCUACCAAGGCUACGAUGUCUAGGGGGUGUGAGGGCAUGGCCCCCACGACCGGAACUGAGAUACUGUCCGGACACCUACGGGUGGCUGCAGUCGAGAAUCUUCCGCAAUGGACGGAAGUCUGACGGAGCGACGCCGCGUGCGGGAUGAAGGCCCUUGGGUUGUAAACCGCUGUCAGAGGGGAUGAAAUCUUCGGAGGUGCUCCUCCAAAGUUGACAGAGCCUCAAAGGAAGCACGGGCUAAGUACGUG
rnacentral:rRNA from 1 species